UGUUUCGGCUAGGGGGCCAUCCCGGCUUACCAACCCGAUGCAAACUGCGAAUACCGGAGAAUGUUAUCACGGGAGACACACGGCGGGUGCUAACGUCCGUCGUGAAGAGGGAAACAACCCAGACCGCCAGCUAAGGUCCCAAAGUCAUGGUUAAGUGGGAAACGAUGUGGGAAGGCCCAGACAGCCAGGAUGUUGGCUUAGAAGCAGCCAUCAUUUAAAGAAAGCGUAAUAGCUCACUGGUCGAGUCGGCCUGCGCGGAAGAUGUAACGGGGCUAAACCAUGCACCGAAGCUGCGGCAGCGACACUGUGUGUUGUUGGGUAGGGGAGCGUUCUGUAAGCCUGUGAAGGUGUGCUGUGAGGCAUGCUGGAGGUAUCAGAAGUGCGAAUGCUGACAUAAGUAACGAUAAAGCGGGUGAAAAGCCCGCUCGCCGGAAGACCAAGGGUUCCUGUCCAACGUUAAUCGGGGCAGGGUGAGUCGACCCCUAAGGCGAGGCCGAAAGGCGUAGUCGAUGGGAAACGGGUUAAUAUUCCCGUACUUGGUGUUACUGCGAAGGGGGGACGGAGAAGGCUAUGUUGGCCGGGCGACGGUUGUCCCGGUUUAAGCGUGUAGGUGUGUGUUCCAGGUAAAUCCGGUUCACUUUAACACUGAGGCGUGAUGACGAGGCACUACGGUGCUGAAGCAACAAAUGCCCUGCUUCCAGGAAAAGCCUCUAAGCAUCAGGUAACAUCAAAUCGUACCCCAAACCGACACAGGUGGUCAGGUAGAGAAUACCAAGGCGCUUGAGAGAACUCGGGUGAAGGAACUAGGCAAAAUGGUGCCGUAACUUCGGGAGAAGGCACGCUGACACGUAGGUGAAGUGAUUUACUCACGGAGCUGAAGUCAGUCGAAGAUACCAGCUGGCUGCAACUGUUUAUUAAAAACACAGCACUGUGCAAACACGAAAGUGGACGUAUACGGUGUGACGCCUGCCCGGUGCCGGAAGGUUAAUUGAUGGGGUCAGCGCAAGCGAAGCUCCUGAUCGAAGCCCCGGUAAACGGCGGCCGUAACUAUAACGGUCCUAAGGUAGCGAAAUUCCUUGUCGGGUAAGUUCCGACCUGCACGAAUGGCGUAAUGAUGGCCAGGCUGUCUCCACCCGAGACUCAGUGAAAUUGAACUCGCUGUGAAGAUGCAGUGUACCCGCGGCAAGACGGAAAGACCCCGUGAACCUUUACUAUAGCUUGACACUGAACAUUGAGCCUUGAUGUGUAGGAUAGGUGGGAGGCUUUGAAGCGUGGACGCCAGUCUGCGUGGAGCCGACCUUGAAAUACCACCCUUUAAUGUUUGAUGUUCUAACGUGGAUCCGUGAUCCGGGUUGCGGACAGUGUCUGGUGGGUAGUUUGACUGGGGCGGUCUCCUCCUAAAGAGUAACGGAGGAGCACGAAGGUUGGCUAAUCCUGGUCGGACAUCAGGAGGUUAGUGCAAUGGCAUAAGCCAGCUUGACUGCGAGCGUGACGGCGCGAGCAGGUGCGAAAGCAGGUCAUAGUGAUCCGGUGGUUCUGAAUGGAAGGGCCAUCGCUCAACGGAUAAAAGGUACUCCGGGGAUAACAGGCUGAUACCGCCCAAGAGUUCAUAUCGACGGCGGUGUUUGGCACCUCGAUGUCGGCUCAUCACAUCCUGGGGCUGAAGUAGGUCCCAAGGGUAUGGCUGUUCGCCAUUUAAAGUGGUACGCGAGCUGGGUUUAGAACGUCGUGAGACAGUUCGGUCCCUAUCUGCCGUGGGCGCUGGAGAACUGAGGGGGGCUGCUCCUAGUACGAGAGGACCGGAGUGGACGCAUCACUGGUGUUCGGGUUGUCAUGCCAAUGGCACUGCCCGGUAGCUAAAUGCGGAAGAGAUAAGUGCUGAAAGCAUCUAAGCACGAAACUUGCCCCGAGAUGAGUUCUCCCUGAGACUACGAGUCUCCUGAAGGAACGUUGAAGACGACGACGUUGAUAGGCCGGGUGUGUAAGCGCAGCGAUGCGUUGAGCUAACCGGUACUAAUGAACCGUGAGGCUUAACCUU
rnacentral:rRNA from 1 species